rnacentral:rRNA from 1 species
UACGAAGGGGGCUAGCGUUGUUCGAAAUUACUGGGCGUAAAGCGCACGUAGGCGGAUAUUUAAGUCAGGGGUGAAAUCCCGGGGCUCAACCCCGGAACUGCCUUUGAUACUGGGUAUCUCGAGUCCGAGAGAGGUGAGUGGAAUUCCGAGUGUAGAGGUGAAAUUCGUAGAUAUUCGGAGGAACACCAGUGGCGAAGGCGGCUCACUGGCUCGGUACUGACGCUGAGGUGCGAAAGCGUGGGGAGCAAACAGG